rnacentral:lncRNA from 1 species
GAUGUAGUAUUUUUGCAUCAAACAAUUGUAAGUAUUUAUAUCGUCUCCUCAGGGACUAGUGCGAUAUCGCGGACCGUUCGACACCAAAUACCAUUCCAAGUUAAAAAGAUAAUUGGUUGUUUGUUUUAGUAACUCAAUUGCAAACGAUAAAAUUGAGAUUAAUAGGGCGUGAAACUUGUUAGGAUUAGAGUUCCUUGAUCAAGCGUCACACGUAACCUAAUGAUCACACAUGGAUUCUAGCUUUUCUUUGAUAUUAUCACGUAUCCCUCGACAACACUAUUCGUGUCCAAACAAUAUUGUGAAAUCAAUUGUAUC